AAAAGAUGGAGGCUGGACUCAGAAGCUAGAGCUGCCUUCCCGGCGAUUCUCAUUCCUUUUGAGCAGAAUGAACUCUGCCACACCAUCUGUCUUGAAGAGGUCCUGUUCAUUCUACAAAUACAUGCUAAGUGGCUACUAUGUGCCGGGCUCUGAUCUGAGUGCUGAGGACACAGUUGAGGUGUGUCACAGAGCUUACCUUCUAAUGAGAGAGGAAAGACAAUAAACAGAAGAAGAAGGAGGAGGAGAAUGGGAAG